UACGAAGGUGGCAAGCGUUGUUCGGAUUUACUGGGCGUACAGGGAGCGUAGGCGGUUGGAUAAGCCCUCCGUGAAAUCUCCAGGCUUAACCUGGAAAGUGCAGAGGGGACUGUUCAGCUAGAGGAUGGGAGAGGAGCGCGGAAUUCCCGGUGUAGCGGUGAAAUGCGUAGAGAUCGGGAGGAAGGCCGGUGGCGAAGGCGGCGACCUGGGUAGAUACUGACGCUGAGGUGCGAAAGCGUGGGGAGCAAACAGG
rnacentral:rRNA from 1 species